rnacentral:rRNA from 1 species
UGUGUGUUAGUGGAAGCGUCUGGAAAGGCGCGCGAUACAGGGUGACAGCCCCGUACACAAAAAUGCACAUACUGUGAGCUCGAUGAGUAGGGCGGGACACGUGGUAUCCUGUCUGAAUAUGGGGGGACCAUCCUCCAAGGCUAAAUACUCCUGACUGACCGAUAGUGAACCAGUACCGUGAGGGAAAGGCGAAAAGAACCCCGGCGAGGGGAGUGAAAAAGAACCUGAAACCGUGUACGUACAAGCAGUGGGAGCCUCUUUUAUGGGGUGACUGCGUACCUUUUGUAUAAUGGGUCAGCGACUUAUAUUCUGUAGCAAGGUUAACCGAAUAGGGGAGCCGAAGGGAAACCGAGUCUUAACUGGGCGUUAAGUUGCAGGGUAUAGACCCGAAACCCGGUGAUCUAGCCAUGGGCAGGUUGAAGGUUGGGUAACACUAACUGGAGGACCGAACCGACUAAUGUUGAAAAAUUAGCGGAUGACUUGUGGCUGGGGGUGAAAGGCCAAUCAAACCGGGAGAUAGCUGGUUCUCCCCGAAAGCUAUUUAGGUAGCGCCUCGUGAAUUCAUCUCCGGGGGUAGAGCACUGUUUCGGCAAGGGGGUCAUCCCGACUUACCAACCCGAUGCAAACUGCGAAUACCGGAGAAUGUUAUCACGGGAGACACACGGCGGGUGCUAACGUCCGUCGUGAAGAGGGAAACAACCCAGACCGCCAGCUAAGGUCCCAAAGUCAUGGUUAAGUGGGAAACGAUGUGGGAAGGCCCAGACAGCCAGGAUGUUGGCUUAGAAGCAGCCAUCAUUUAAAGAAAGCGUAAUAGCUCACUGGUCGAGUCGGCCUGCGCGGAAGAUGUAACGGGGCUAAACCAUGCACCGAAGCUGCGGCAGCGACACUAUGUGUUGUUGGGUA